AUUGCACUUUUUCCAGGAAAAGAGCUCAAAGAAAAUAAUCUUCUGACAAAAGACUUUACUCGGGUGAAAUAAUGUAUUAGUUGCAUGCUGCACAGAAGAAGCGGUCUCAGCUUACUAUAUGUUAUCCCUAACUUCUAAGUCUGAAGUCUGAGAAAAUGCCUAAGUCUGAGAAAAUGGAGUGAACUUUGAAAGGUAACAUAUC